ensembl:snoRNA small nucleolar RNA, H/ACA box 69
AAAGCAGGUCGCAAUUACAGUGCUUCGUUUUGUGGAAGUGCUGGCAUUAUCCUGCUGAGAGAAAACCUGUCUUGGUCACUUUGGAUUUUGCCUCACUAAGGGUAAAAUCAGGACAUUGACAGGGACAAUU